rnacentral:rRNA from 1 species
CCAGACUCCUACGGGAGGCAGCAGUGAGGAAUAUUGGUCAAUGGUCGGGAGACUGAACCAGCCAAGCCGCGUGAGGGAUGAAGGUACAGAGUAUCGUAAACCUCUUUUGUCAGGGAACAAAGGCGGGGACGUGUCCCCGGAUGAGUGUACCUGAAGAAAAAGCAUCGGCUAACUCCGUGCCAGCAGCCGCGGUAAUACGGAGGAUGCGAGCGUUAUCCGGUUUUAUUGGGUUUAAAGGGUGCGCAGGCGGGCUGUUAAGUCGGCGGUAAAAGCCCGGGGCUCAACCCCGGUCCGCCGUUGAAACUGGCAGUCUCGAGUUGGAGAGAAGUAUGCGGAAUGCGCGGUGUAGCGGUGAAAUGCAUAGAUAUCGCGCAGAGCUCCGAUUGCGAAGGCAGCAUGCCGGCUCCACACUGACGCUGAGGCACGAAAGCGUGGGUAUCGAACAGGAUUAGAUACCCCCGUA